CUAUAAUGCAGUCGAGCGGACAGAAGGGAGCUUGCUCCCGGAUGUUAGCGGCGGACGGGUGAGUAACACGUGGGUAACCUGCCUGUAAGACUGGGAUAACUCCGGGAAACCGGAGCUAAUACCGGAUAGUUCCUUGAACCGCAUGGCUUCAAGGAUGAAAGACGGUUUCGGCUGUCACUUACAGAUGGACCCGCGGCGCAUUAGCUAGUUGGUGGGGUAAUGGCUCACCAAGGCGACGAUGCGUAGCCGACCUGAGAGGGUGAUCGGCCACACUGGGACUGAGACACGGCCCAGACUCCUACGGGAGGCAGCAGUAGGGAAUCUUCCGCAAUGGACGAAAGUCUGACGGAAGCCACGUCGCGUGAGUGAU
rnacentral:rRNA from 1 species